CACGUAGGGUGCGAGCGUUGUCCGGAAUUAUUGGGCGUAAAGAGCUCGUAGGCGGUGUGUCGCGUCGGCCGUGAAAACCUGCAGCUUAACUGUGGGCUUGCGGUCGAUACGGGCAUCACUGGAGUUCGGCAGGGGAGACUGGAAUUCCUGGUGUAGCGGUGAAAUGCGCAGAUAUCAGGAGGAACACCGGUGGCGAAAGCGGCUC
rnacentral:rRNA from 1 species